UGCAGCACACAAGGGCAAUGGAGCUCUGAAGAUGGUACAUUGCUGCUUGGUGACCAUCAAGACAGUAGAAACUAAGGAUAUUUAAACCUUUAGCAUAAGUUGUGAUACUUGGACUUUUUCUUCCCUACCUCAGUGAUCAAGCUACAUAAAAGAGCCCCAGGUUCCCUCGUGCCAACAUGGAAUAAUUGCUUUAAAAAGGUGAAAUGAGGAGCCACAGUAGAAUAUACUCACCCCAAAGUUGCCUCAGAGUUGCUGAAGUCACUCUUACUGCCUCAUGGUUGCUCAGACCUCCACUUCAAGAACAGACUCAGUCCACCUGCACCCAAGUGAUUAAAAAGUUUUAUUGCUCACACAAAGCCUGUUUGAUGGUCUCUUCACAUGGAUAUCCAUGACAUUUGGUGCCGAAACCCAGAACAGGAGGACUCCUUCAGGAGAUUGGUCCCCUGUCCUCAUCGUCACUCCAUGAGGAGAUCCACCUAUGACCUUAGGUCCUCAGACCAACCAGCCCAAGGAACAUCUCACCAAUUUUGUAUCGGGUAAGCGG